rnacentral:rRNA from 1 species
UACGUAGGGCGCAAGCGUUGUCCGGAAUUAUUGGGCGUAAAGAGCUCGUAGGCGGUUUGUCGCGUCUGUCGUGAAAGCCCACGGCUUAACCGUGGGUCUGCGGUGGGUACGGGCAGACUAGAGUGAUGUAGGGGAGACUGGAAUUCCUGGUGUAGCGGUGAAAUGCGCAGAUAUCAGGAAGAACACCCGUGGCGAAGGCGGUUCUCUGGGACGGUACUGACGCUGAGACGCGAAAGCGUGGGGAGCGAACAGG